CAUAUAACAAUACGGAAGUAAAACUAUCGCUUUAUACCUGAUUCAAAGUAAUGGUAAUACUUGGGAGGCCUAUCUCCUGCCCCGACGAAAUACGUCCUUUAUCUAGUUUUGCACUGGUUAAAACUAUUUCGAAAAUACAGAAAUAUAUCGCCAUUCAGUUGUCUGGUGUUCUGUAUCUCGACCAGGUGAAUAACUAUAAUUUGUUUCGCAGUGCUGCGCUAGAAAAGAAGAAAAACGUUUAAGCAUUUAACGUUAUUCUGUGUCUUUACUCGCUAUUAUGGAUCAAUAUUCAUUAGUGAAAGUUAUUGGCCAAGGGUCUUUCGGUCGAGCUCUUUUGGUUCAGCCAAUAAACGGAGAGCAAAAUUAUGUUAUGAAGGAAAUACGACUGCCAAAGGAUGAUUCUGGGAUAAGAAACAGCAGAAGAGAAGCUGUGCUUCUGUCCAGAAUGAAGCAUUCAAACGUUGUGGCAUUCAUAGACUCAUUUGAAGCUGAUGGUCAUCUGUACAUUGUAAUGGAGUUCUGCAGUGGUGGAGAUCUUCUUUUAAAGAUACGGCAGCAAAAAAAUGUUCUGUUCACUGAGGAUGUGAUCCUGAAGUGGUUUGCACAGAUGUGUCUAGGCACCAAGCACAUUCACGACAAGAGAGUACUUCACAGGGAUUUAAAAUCAAAGAAUAUUUUCUUGACAGACAGUGGAACUGUGAAGUUGGGGGAUUUUGGUUCAGCAUGUUCUCUUAACAGCGCAAAAGCAUACGCUCAGACCUAUGUGGGUACUCCGUAUUAUGUGUCUCCAGAAAUAUGGGACAACAAACCUUACAAUAAUAAAAGUGACGUCUGGUCUCUUGGCUGUGUCUUGUAUGAACUUUGCACACUCCAACAUCCGUUUCAGUCAAGUAGCUGGAAGAGCCUGAUCUUGAAGGUGUGUCGUGGGACAUAUGCACCUUUACCCAGUCACUUCUCCUAUGAGCUCCACUACCUCAUCAAAAACAUGUUCAAGACUAACCCUAAAGACAGACCCUCAGUACACACAAUCCUUAGCUCUCACCGUGUGUCUCGACUGCUGCAUAAACACCUGGUACCAGAGAAAAAGGAACUGGUGCAAGAACGAACACACCACUGGAAGAGAGAGGAAGGAGAAAAAGUGGCUAUGUUUUUAGGACAGAAGAGUUUAGUGACCACAACUUCCACUGAAGGAACUUUGCAAGAAGAACAGUCUACUUUUGAAAACAACUGCAUUGAUGACCCAGCUUCUCGUAAGAGGUGGGCAGUCGGGACUUGCAAUACCGUGAUGGGGGUCCUAAGAAAUGCUGAUAUCAUUUCCACUGGUAGCAUGGAAAAUGCAGAACAGACUGAUCUUAUUUCAGAGGCUGAGUAUGUGGAGACCCAGGAAAGACGAGUGAGGAAACAGUGGGACAAAGAUCCACCUGAGAGACUCCUGAGCAUUUUGGAGAAAGUGCAGCUCUGUUAUGGCUUUGAGACUUACACUUUACGUAGAGAUGGUCAGUCGAGCAUGGAGACAAAGUGGAUGGCCCUGAGAUGAUGAUCACAGACUACAGUAGACUGGAGCCACGCUCAGAUGAUGAAGAUACGGAUUUUGAAGAGGAGUGUCCAUAUGACUGGAUAAAUGAACUGGAGGAAAUGAUGAGCUAGAGAAACUUAAAGUCCAGGUUUGUGGGAGAAAUUGGCCAUGCACCACUAACUGCAUUCUCAUAGGCUUCCACUUCUUGCACUAAUUCAGAAACCACUGAUGAAAUGGUUGGCUGAGGGUGUCGUGAAAGUGUAUCGGCGACCACCAGUUUUUUGCCAGGUACAUUGUUUUGACAGGAUUGUAACUCAUCAUCCGCAGCAACAGCCUUUGACAUCUCAGUGGAACUGAAUCAAGAUCCUUUGAUCAGAGGAAUCAGUGGCUUAUGGUCGGUUUACAGGAUGACACUUUACAAUCCAUACAAAUAACCGUGAGAAUUUUUUACAGGACCACACGGCCACCAGGCACUCUUUUUCGAUCUGGACGGACCUUUUUUCAGCAUCGGUAAGCACCCUGGAACAGUAAGCCACUGGUUUCAGAUUUCCAUCAUGGUCCUGCCUAGGACCUAGGAAGGAUUGUCAUCAAUUGUUGGCAGCACAAAUUUCUCUCUUUUUACAGCUUUAUUCAGUUGUUUCAGAUCGACACAAAUUGUUAUUUUCCCUGUUUUCUUUGGGACGGCCACCAUAGGGGCGCACCACUCUGUAGGCUCAGUGAUCUCCUCAAUAACAAUGUGCCAUUCUCUCUAGCUCCGCCUUGACUUUUGGAAGCAAGGGCACGGACACCCGUCUUGCAGUGUGCACACUGUAUGGUACAGCAUCCUCCUUCAGGAAGAUUUUAAUGGGUUUUGUCUUUACUAAUCCCAGUUCAGAAAAAUAAAUGGGUUGGAGCUCUUCUAGCCUCUUAACUAAACCCAUUUCACUUGCUGCGUCACGACCAAGGAGAUUGUUUACAUAGGGACCAGUCACCACAAAUGCUUCAAAAAUAUACUGCUCAUUUUUAAAGGUAGUCUUCGCUCUGAACUGACCUUUGCAUUGCAGUGUACCUCCUGGGCUAUCAAGUUUCACAUUAACUUUAAGUUUUGGCUUGUACUUCAAAACUGAGCAGCUUUUCUCAGAAAUGACACUUAUGUCAGCGCCUGUGUCAAAUUUAAAGUCUAUGUCUGUGCCCUGAAUUGAUAGUGUGACAAUCCAAGCUCCACUUUUGUCAUCAAUGUGUGUUAACUCACCCAGGAAAUGUGCUACACUGCUGCCCUCUUGUGGUUUGAUGACAUCAUGGACUUCUCGGGUUCUAAAAAACAGGGGCGGACUGGAGCAGGGACUUUUCCCAGUGGGCCGCUAGCCAAUGUGGGCCGGUGUCCUGACAUUUUAUCCUACCCUGUCAGAUUUUCCUACCUGGGUUUAAUGCGCACGCACAUAUCAAUAUCGCGUCCUCUGUCUCAUGCUAAACAACGAUAUUUAAUGUAUCUGCAGUACUGUAAGGGUAGGUUUAGGGUUGGGGUAGGUGUAAACUUUAAUAAAAACGCAAUUUAAUUGGUAGAAAAUAAUAUUUAUUGUUGGUUUCCUGUAGCUGUAUUCCUUCUAGCUACAACCGCGAAUAUAACACAUAAUUACUGUAUUUGCAGUACUGUAAGGGUAUGAUUAGGGUUGUGGUAGGUGUAGACGUUAAUAAACCAUAACUUUACAGUAACAUUUUUUCGUUGUGGAAUUGUAAUACCCACUGUUUUAGUGGGAGGUAGGAAAAUCUGACAGCGUAGGACAAAUCGACAGAACACCGGCCCAUAAAUAUAUAUAUUUUUUUUUAUGACGGAAAUCAUAGUAUUACAUCUCUUUUCUAUGCAAAUGGAUGAGUGAGUCGAUUGCACGGCCAACAAGGAGUGUGUUUUGUUUGCGUGUGAGUGUUUUGCCCUCCCUCCCUGUUUAGUUUGGUCUACUCCAUUGCUUAUCUUGAAAAACGUCUAAGGUUACGUAUAUAACCCUGGUUCCUCGAAGGAACGAGACGCUGCGUCGAGAACGAUUGGGGAACGCGUCCAGCGUGACGUCUCUGAAUAAUAUGUAUAAUCAGUCCAAAAGAAGGGCGAGACGUCAUAGGCGGGUGACAUCAGAGACCAGGAAGCAUAAAAGCAGGAGAGGCACAGCCGGCCCCAGCCUCAAAGGAUGAAGCAAGCGCCAGCCAGAGAUGCCGGAAGUGUGGCACUGCGACGCAGCGUCUCGUUCCUUCGAGGAACCAGGGUUACAUAUGUAACCUUAGACGUUCCUCUUCAGGAACUCGAGCUGCGUCGAGAACGAUUGGGGAACGAGAAUGCCCACGCCGCCAGACUUACAAAUCUCUGCCAGUGUGGGAAACUGCACAGCUAGGACGAGAGAACAGAGGGGCCUGGAGCGGCUCGUAAAUCUAGACCGUAAAAUCUUACGAAGGUCAAGGGCGUGGACCACCCCGCAGCCUCGCAGAUGUCACGCAUAGAGACACCUGCUAGGAAGGCCUUGGAGGCCGCCACACUUCUAGUGGAGUGAGCCAUGACCCCCAGGAGAGGGGAGAUCAGAGGACUCGAGGCUUAGGACAGCAUCCUGAUCACCGCUUAGCAUAAGCUUCUUCUGGCCGGAGGCCUCAGCCUCAGCGCACCAUGGAGGAAACAUGUAACCAGAGGGUUUCUGCUCACUGACUGGCCACCGAGAGGGGCGUGGUAGGCCACCAUGGCCGCCGCGUAGACCUUCACGGUGCAGUGGAUCAACCCUGCGGAGAGCCUGCAGGAACUCCAGCACUGUACCAUCCGGGCAGUUAACUUGGUCGAGCUGGCGGUCUCCGCACCAAGAAGUGAAAAGCUUCCACUUCAAGGCAUACAGUUUCCUCAUUGAGGGAGCUCUGGAUUGGAGAACAGUCUUACAACCUCGGUUGAGAGACCGGAAGCUAAGAGUUGUGCCUCCUCAGAGACAACACCUACAGCCUCUAAGCUCCAUGCGGGGGCGCACCCUCCGCCUGCGAGAGGAGAUCUCUCCUGACGGGAACCUCCCAUGGAGUGCCAUCAAAAAGAGAAAUCAGGCCCAGGAACCAUACCCGGCCCGUCCAGAACGGGGCUACUAACAGCAGCCGGACUCCGUCCCGGCACACUCUCUCCAGAACUCCCGAGAGCAGAGCAAUCGGGGGAAAAUUUACAGAUGAAGCCUCGGCCAUGUCGUGUACCAUGGCGUCCAGCCCCAGUGGAGCUGGAUGAGUCAGAGGAAGCCAGAGGGGACAGUGCGAUGUCUCUCGAGUCGCAAACAGAUCCACCCGAGUCUGGCCAACAUUUCCAACUCUGCUUCAUCACCUCAGUGUGAAGCCGCCAUUCCCCGGGCCUCGGCCCCUGCUCAACAGGAUGUCUGCUCCCAUAUUACGAUGCCCAGGAAUGUGAACUGCUCUGAGCAAGAGGAAUUCGUCCUGGGCCCACACAAGGAUCUGGUACGCUAGUUGUAUAAAUGGGGUGAGUGCAGACCUCCUUGGUGGUUGAUGUAAGAGACCACCGCUGUGUGGUCGGUGCGCACCAACACAUGGUGACCUCUUAGGUCUGGGAGAAAAUAACGAAGUGCACGAAGCACGGCCAGCAUCUCCAGGCAGUUGAUGUGUUGACCGCUGCGCCCUGGAACACCGGCAGGGUUGGCAGAUCGAUCUCCUGAGGGCACUGGAAGAGACGGACACCGUGUAAUGCGGUGUACACCGCUCUUCCCCAGAGGGGCCUGCCCUCCGAGGUCCUGAGCCGCAGCAUCAGGACUAUCAUAGCUGAAGUCUCCUAAAAACGACGGUCCUCAGACCCGUAUCGUCUGUCAGGAAGACUAGACCAGAGCCUGCUCGGGGCAGGACCCCAUGAAGUACACUUGGCAGGGGCUCCCACACCGCCAUGUGACCUCCUAAGGGAACCAGUCUCGCGAGACUUGCCUCUGGUGCGCCUAGAGCCACUAGCUCGGUGCCUUGAAGCGGUGGACCGGCAGGGGAUGACCGUACUAGCUGCUCUAGAGACCUCCGUAGAGGUAGCGAGCCUCUCAGCACCGCUACGUUUCCGGGCGGUAACUGAGAGAAGCGCUCGCCGGAGAUCGCUGCGCCCUGGAACAACGGCAGGGUUGGCAGAAUGAUCUCCUGAGGGCACUGAGGAGAGACGGGCACCAUGUAAUGCGGUGUACACCACUCUUCCCCAGAGGGAGCUGGCCCUCAAAACGUCCUAGGUGUCAGGACGUUAUGAUGAAGGCUAUCCAGCGAUAACAACAGUCCGUAGAACUGCUUUCCACUAGAAGCCUUCGGCCUGGGUGCGCCACUUUGACUCUAGCGUCUGCGGAGUACAAAAGUGACACCCCCGGCACGUGGGGCUGGAACACUUUGGGACUGCUCCGCCCAGCAGCCCCUGACCGCCUCAACCUCCUCAGAGGAAGAGCGGUACACACGUGUUCUCACAAAAGAAAUCACAUCCCUACAUCUAACUUCACAUAGUCAGAUAAAUAUGUCAUUUUAUUCCUUAGAAUUAAAUGUAGUCAGCAACCAGACUAGUCAACGUGAUCUGGUGUAGAAAAAAUCACAUAAAAAUGAAACCAUGUCUUUUUUUUUUUUUUAUAUAUAUAUUAUUUUAUGCUACUCAGUCACACAAAUAACAUAAAUCUCCUCAGAGAAAUAUGGAUGCUGCAGCGAGCUGUCUCAGAGGGUGAAGAAACUGCAGCGCUGGUUUCCAAGCCUCGAGAAUGAGCUCUAGAUCUAGUGAACACGGGUGGAGAUAGGACGAGCCGUCUCCAACCCGUUCGCCAGAUCAUUUGCGAUUCCUGCUAUCGCGGUCGCCGCCGUGCAUCAGCCACAGCGAGACUGCGACCGCAAGAUCGCAUGCACGGACACACUCCUCAGAGCGUGCCCGGCGAGAGAGCAUGCAGCAGCAGCAGCGAGCUGUCUCAGAGGGCGAAAGAACCGCAGUGCUGGUUUCCAGGCCUCGAGCAUGAGCUCUAGAUCUAGUGAACACGGGCGGAGAUAGGACGAACCGUCUCCAACCCAUUCGCCAGAUCAUGUGCGAUUCCUGCUAUUGCGGUCGCCGCCGUGCCUCAGCACCAGCGACCGCAGGAUCGCAUGCACGGACACACUCCUCAGAGCGUGCCCGGCGAGAGCGGAGCGCUUAACAGUGAUAAAAAGCACAGUCAGCCCCCCCGAGAGCUGACUGCGCGAGCUCCACUCUUCAUUAAGGCUGCUUAUGUUAAUAUUAGGCAUAACAUGCUUGUGUAACUGGUGCUUGUGUGACUGGCGAGCUCAUCGACGCCUAUCCACAUCAAUCUCCUCAGAGAAAGACAGGCAGCGCCGUCGCGCCCUCUCAUCGGGGAGAAGUACCGCAAACGCGGGCUUCCGACCACCGAGAGCGGGCGCCGGAUCUGGUGGCUAAGAAAGAAGAUAGGGGCUUGCCCGUCUUACAUUCCUUCAAGCAGAUCCGAAAGCGAGUCCCGCGAGCACAACCACCAUUUUGCCUCGGCGAAAACGGGACUGGCACCGCGAGAAACGCCAGUGAAAGCUCUCUCCUCAAAGAGAGCCUUCUGAGAGUAAAGCAAAGGCUCGCAUCGCAGCCGUCAACUCCCUCGAGAGCUGACACUGCGCGCUUCACUCUCAAGCAGACAACACACGAGCUGCGUGUGUCCCUACCCUUUUUUUGUUUUGUUUUUUGGCAGGGAAAAACACACAGCCUGAGCGCUGCCUGCUCUCGCCCCAAAACUUCUCUUGAUUGAAGCUUUGACAAUGGAGUUUAUCAGUGGACAAACGACACUAAAUAAGACUCACAAACAAAUAGCGGCUGACACACACACAGAGCGCUUGCUGAAGACACAAGGCUGGGGCCUGCUGUGCCUCUCCUGCUUUUAUGCUUCCUGGUCUCUGACGUCACCCGCCUAUGACGUCUCGCCCUUCUUUUGGACUGAUUAUACAUAUUAUUCAGAGACGUCACGCUGGGCGCGUUCCCCAAUCGUUCUCGACGCAGCUCGAGUUCCUGAAGAGGAACGCCCCCUUUCACGUCGUCUAAUAUUUACAGAGAGAGAGAGACAGAUUUAUCCGGUACAGCUAAUUUCUCUGAGCAGCAGGCCACUGUAUACGUUCACUUAAAACAUAACCGACUGUAUUUACGAGAAUACUUGCAGAGAUAAUUAUUUUGAGAUAAUUGUAUGUGUAUGUGUUCAUUUCAGAGGUUACGAUACGCGAAAGAUGAAUUAAUUCUGUGUACGAGCAUUGUCUGAAACGCUGCUCUCAGUGCGUGCUUUGAACAAGUGCACGCAAGCUUCGAACGUGCACGAAUUGUUUAAAACACUCGAAUCGGCAAGAUUUAGAAACAAGUGCAAACGAUCAACUACGAUCUGUUGCAUCCCUUCAAGCCAGUGAACAACGCGAAUCGAGUUAAGAGUUUUACAUCCCUUUUCAAGAUAGCCCAUCGGGCAGGACGGCAAAAUAUUUUGGAGCUCGAUUGGAAAACAAUAGGCCCGGGACGUCGGGCUCGUGAUUUUUCCGAACCUUGCAGCUCAGAUCUAUCCAGUUUGAGAAUCAUUGUUUUCCACACUGGUUUUGUGCAACAAAAUAAAUGAAUAUUUUAAAAGAUUUACUCAAAAGAAUAAUCUGUACACGAAUCUAACCAUGAACUUGUAUUACCGAGCCAAAGAUGAUCUAUUUUUGAACAUCUCGAAUAAAUAAAGACUUCAAGUUCAUCUGUAAAGCACAUAAAGCUAUCGUUUGAGUUUAUAAACUUCUAUUUCAUGCAUGAUUCGUAUGGAUCUGUUAAUUCAUUUGUAUAGCGCUUUUUACAAUACAAAUCGUUACAAAGCAACUUUACAGAAAAUUGUUUCUACAAUAUUUAGUAAUAGCUAAUUAGUGGUGACUGUCAGUUUGUGCACAUAUGACAGGAUUUUUAGACAAUUUUUGUUAGUUCUAUUUGUUGAUUCAGGGUUAGCAUCAUCUCUUCUCAGGUGUUCUGGAUCCAGACUGGAGCUUGUGUAAAUCCUAGUUACAUCCGUGGCAAAACAUAGAAACAAAUAGAGACAUCAUUAGCAUAGCUGCUGAUCCAACAAAGUAAAAUUAAUUAGUUUAUCCCAAGCUAAAGAAUAAGAAUGUACUUUUGUUUGUUAACAGAUUUAAAGAAAAUUGUUUCUACAAUAUUUAGUAGUAGCUUAUAAGUGGUGACUGUGAUGACUGAAAAACAUUAAUACAAAACGUAGUCAGCCAAACGAUUAACAUUAUUAACAGCAAUUAUUUUUCUUUAUGUUAACUGAAUGCAAAGUGUGAGUUCUAGGAGAAUGUUUGUGUCGUGAUGAUGAGCAUGUUUCGCUCACUAGGAGUCGACAAAUGAACAGUGGCUGCAAGCAGGUUUUUUUUUUUUUUGUCUGUUUGUUUGUUUCAAUGGAGGAUCAGUUGCCCUAUUGGUUAAAAUCCCCAAACUGUAUACUUAAAUAUUCAAUUAAUAAAUACAUUAUAUCAAAACAGGUGCAGAUGCGUCAUGAUGUGGUGGGCUGCUGUGGACUGGGCCACUUUUUUGUCCCAGUCCGCCCCUGCUACAAACUGCAGCGAAAUGACACUUUUUCCUGCAUUUGCGACACUCAGCACCUUUUGCUGGACACAUUUCACCUUUCCCAUGAUUUCUGCCACAUCUUUUACAUCUCCAAUCAGAAACAUGCUCUGAUCUGGUUCCAAUUCGAUCCACGGUGCUGUCUACCUCUUUCACUUUGGUGGAAUUUUUCCCUGGCACUGGCCACCUCGCUGAUUUGAGCACUGACGCUGGCAUUCUGUUCACAUGUCCACGUGUCCACGGACCUGUUCAGACUGCCUCACAAACUCUGUGGCAUUUCUGAGUGUCAAUUCGGGUAUUAAUUCGAGCUUUUCUGACAGAUUUCUGUCCUGAAUCCUGAUCAUGAGCCUGUUGCGAAUACUCUCCUCUUUAGCAGCACCAAAGUCACACAUGUUUGCUAACUCGUGGAGGCUACGAAUAUAUUCUUCGGCCAUUUCACCUGGCUUUUGAGCCCUUGUGUGAAAUCAUACAUGCUCGUGAAUAGCAUUACCUUUUGGUACAAAGUAGUCAUCAAGCUUCCUGAUCAAAGGUUCUUAGUCCUCUCUUUCUUCUUCCCCGAACGUAAAUGUCUGAUACACUUGUUCAGCUUAUUUUUCCAGUGAAUAAAGCAGUGUACAGACCUGUACUUCAGCCUCUUCUUCGUCAGGUUUAGUGGCUAUCCUGUAGCGGCAAAAUCUCUAACGCUAUUCUGGCCAUCGUUCGGGGUGACCGAAAUCAAAACUGUCCGGAGGCAAACACUUUGCCAUGGUGUUAACAGCGCUCCACUUCUGACACCAUAUGAUGUUUCAAUAAAGCAACUUGGUUUCCUCAAAGUCUGAUCUUUAUUAACAUCUAACUUUUUGACUGAACAUUCAAGCACAAUGUGGCUACUUUUAGAAACUGGCAGACUAGAGUUCUUCUUAAUAGCUGCAACUCAACUCUUAGAAAACACUAGGUCGCCACCUAAUGGAUUAAAGACGCAUUACCUAUAGCAACAUUAAACUGUUUUAUAUCACAUAGAUGACCUAACUAGUCUUCUAACACGUUACAAUCCAUCACGCUCCCUAAGGUCACAAAACGCUGGACUUUUGGUAGUUCCUAGGAUAGCAAAGUCCACUAAAGGAGGUACAGCUUUUUCACAUUUGGCUCCCAAACUCCGGAAUAGCCUUCCUGAUAAUGUUCGCGGUUCAGACACACUCUCUCUGUUUAAAUCUGGAUUAAAAACACAUCUCUUUUACCAAGCAUUCAAGUAUUGCAUCUCAUAAAUUGUGACUGCAGUUGCAUCUGAUCAAAUGCACAUUCUUAUUCUUUAGCUUGGGCUAAACUAAUAAAUUUUACUUUGUUAGAACUGCAGAUACAGUAAUGAUGUCUCUCUUUGUUUCUAUGUUUUGCCACGGGUAACUAAGAUUUACACAAGCUCCAGUCUGGAGCCAGAACACCUGAGAAGAGAUGAUGCUGACCCCCUCAGAGGACUCCAGAUGAUGCUAACCCUGAAUCAACAAACAGAACUAACAAAUAUUGCUACAAGCGUGAUUGCAUCAUAUAAUAAUUGCUAUUAAUCGUUUGGCUAACUACGUCUUGUAUUCAUGUUUUUCAGAAAAAUCCUGUCAUAUGCACAUAAACUGACAGUCACCACUUAUAAGCUACUACUAAAUAUUGUAGAAACAUAAUUUUCUUUAAAGUUGCUUCGUAAUGAGUUGUAUGAUAAAAAGCGCUAUACAAAUAAACUUAAAGGGCUGUAAUGCAAUUUUUAAUAGUUUUAAAUUGUUUUUAGUUUGUAUUAUCUUUAAAUGUAAAGUCAUAGUUAAAUAAAUGUACUCAAGAUAUGCUUUUCUUUUUACUUUAAAUGUGACUUGAAGUAAUUCAAAAGUAAUUAGAUUACAUAACUUUCAUAUUGUGGUACUUGGAUUACAUUAAUGAAUACUUUUUUAAUUAAGUAAUUUGAAAAUAUAACUGAAUACAUUUUAAAAGUACUGUAACCCUCCCAACCCUGUCUGUUUGAGUACAUUGUGUUGUCGUGGUGGAUUUACGGAAACCUCAUGCAUCAGUCAAGGUCCCUGGACCCAAGGGAUUGCUACAAUGACAUUUACUCACUUGAACAAGCUUCUUUCUUCUAUUGAAAAUAAAACUUCUUUUAAAGAAUGUGGGUAACCAGACAGUUUCUGUUCUUCAGUUACUUCCAUAGUAUAUUAUUUAUUAAUGCCUACUAUCAAAAUCACUACUAUUUGAUUACCCACAUUCUUCAAAAUAUAUUUUUCUAUGUUUAACACAAUAAAUAAAUUAAUACAGGUUUGGGAAAACAUAAGUGACUAAAUAAUGACAGAAAUUACAUUUUUGGGUAACCGUUCCUUUAAUGACAAGCAGCAGUAUGUUUCUAACUGUCACUUUAAGAGCUGCAUGCAUCUAAUAUACAAGCAGAUAUUUUCUCUUAACUGUUUACAUUCAGUUUAGAAAUAACCAAUUGUGUAUAUGUAAUCCUUCUGUAUUUUUGACAGUAUUAGCUCAAUCAGAUGCAAAACAUAACUUAGUCCAUAACUUAGCUUUUGACAGGCUUUUCAGUGUGUGCGUUCUUCAGGUUUACGUGCUCCGAGAAAGCACCUGUCAGAAAAGCACGCAAACAAAAUGUUUAACUGACAAGGGUUUAAAGCACAUGCAAAUAAUUAAUUUUUGUGAUUGCGUAUAAAUGCGAUUGUAGUGUCCUUUAUCCUCUACUGUUGAGUUACCAUUUUAUGUGAACGUCUGUCGCAUUGUAUUUUGAGUAUUUUGAGAUAGAGGCGUGCUGUAGCACAAUAAUAUUUUUUCAAGUAUUUUUUCACAUUUAUAAUAAGAAUAAAUAACUCUUUAACACAGAGAAAAGUGUUGAUAUUAGUUGAGAAAUAAAAGUUUAAACUAGUUGAAAACGAAAUAUGUUUACAUCCUGGUUAAUUAAAAAAAAUGUGCUAAGGGCUCACAUAAAUUGAAUGCUGCCACACUCUUGCCAAGACCGAGGACAAAGUCAUUUUGCAGUUUUGCCAGCUCUGCUUGAUUUACGAGUGGUUUCUGGCUGACUGUUGAGGCACUUGGUGUGCAGAUAAAUGCCCCCAAUUGUGUUGUUAAGGAAAUGCUGGGCCAGUGUUGAAGCCUUAUCUGAAAGCAACAUGGGGUGCCUCAGGGACCAAGUGUAAGCCCUCUAACCAUUUUUAAUUUUCCUCAUUUACCUCAGUCAAUGCUUAAUGUCUUAUGAGAGACGAAGAUAAACAUAAGGAUGUGUAGCACAAGAACUGUUAAGACGAUAGUAACCCAUACACUCAUUCUGAAAGACCCCUGUCUCUGAUAAUGUGGUUUUGGGCAGCUAAGAUGUUAAAUAAAAGUAAUAUUUGUUACAGUAGAUAGUACUGUUCAAUAAAUAGUACCGGUCUUUUUUAUUUUUAUUUUUUCAUUCAAUUGCAAUGGAUGCAGCUUUUGGCUUCCACAGUACUUGGGUGGGAAAAUUAUAUUUAGUCUCAUUUAGAUUUUGAGUUACAGUAAAACAAUAUAUAGCUGACAAAUUAUCCAAUAAGACUGUCCUCAUCUCUGAAAAUAAAUAACACAAACUAUAUCCCAGAUAGCAACAUAUUAUCUGGGCCAAAAGCAGGCCAUAGCAAUGCCACAUGUCAGCAAAGAGCAAAGAAAUAAACCACAAUGGACCUGAGCCACAAAAUCUUCGUAUAUUAUUUAUAGAGUCCUCUCAGCUCAUCUAAGCCUAUUAACAAGAAAAUUCACUGAAGGAAAGAAAAGAACAGGAAAAAAACAACUACAGACAAAUAGAAACUCAACAAAAACAACAAUUGACCGCAGCAACAGCCUUGGAUAAAUUCAGCUGAAAAUAAAAUAAAUUAAAUCUCUGAAGAUCUAAGCAGAGGGAGAUUAAACAUCUCCACAAACAGCCUUACCAGCUUUACUAACCAGACUGACUUGAUUACUCUUAGAGGUCUAGAGAAGAUAUUAUAGGAAGUAUUAUUAACAGAAGUUUAAAUCUAAUGUUUGUUUCAUAAUGGUGAUAAUCCCCACAAUGGUGAUUCCUGUUUGCAUUAGUUGGGCUCUUAAACUUAUUAAAAAACAGUUGUCUGUGCUUGCUGUUGUGUUCAUUAAACACACUUGCAGUAACAAAUGAUGACAAAAUGAGAUCGAAUGAUGAUAGUCAGCUACUGAUUGUUCUACAAUUAUGGUUAAAUAAAUUGAUUCACCUGUGUCAUUUUACUCUAAAGAUUGCAUUAUACCAAUAAUACAUUUGCUAGGGAUAGGUAGAUCGACACCUAGUGUUGACACAUUUUUAGUUUUUGAUACACUAGUAGUGCUUUGAAACAUUGUUCCGAAACAUUGCAUGAAAUGAGGCCGUCACUGACCUGUGAAAACGAAGCUUCAUUACCUUAAUGACAUGUCACCCUAGGCUCAAAUACAAAGCAUGUUGAUUGCGCAAUCCAUUAAGUCCAGUGUUAUAGUUAUAUCAGUCGGCAUGCCUACAUGUAUGUAGUGUUUUACAUGGUGUAUCGUUGUUAAUUAUAUUACUACUAUUACAGAAUGACGUGAAUAUCUGUUGACUGGAUGAAUAUUAAAACACCUUGCGAGCUCAACCACUAGCUGUUCCCAAAAAUAGCAAAAAAAAAAAGGAUACUUCCUUAACCACAAAUAUUUUUGCUGCUUGUAAACUGCAUCCUCUAUUGUCAACAGCUCACAUUGGCAAGAAAAAAAUAUUUUUGCAAAAUAUAUUAUAUAAUAUAAUAUAUUAUUUUCUCGAAACUUUUUAAACACAAAUCCAAAUACUCAAAACUAAGUUCACGAAACCUCUGACUCUUCCAUCUAAAUAACAAAACCAUUUCAGUUGGACUCAAAAUCAAAUGCUGCUCUCAGAUCACACACACAUGAGUCAAUGAAAUACACAGAGCAUUACAGAAAAGUUAUAUUGUAUUGCGUAAACAAUUUUCAAUUCUGUAAAAUUAAUUGUAACUGAAUAAAAUGAAUAUAUUGUAUAGGCCUACUGUAUGUAUAUUGCAAGAAUAGUAUUGUACUGAAUAUUGAAUAUUACUGAAUGUUGGUAUAUAUUCAGCACUUGGAUACUGCAAAAAUACUGCAGUCUAACUGCAAAGGCCAAAAAGGUCAAAUCAAACUCUAAAUGAGUAGUAUGUUAAAGUACACUCAAGUACUGUAAGUUUAAAUUGUAAAAUCAGGGUCAACUACUUGUGCUCUCUGAACUUGCUCAUAUUUUGUACAGUUGAUUUGAUCACAUAAUUUUAAACAAGUAUGAACAAUUUUGAAUUAUUGUGUAUAAAUGAUGCAACUGUGUUUUAAUUGUGUUUAACUUUUCCCGAUUGUUUAAAAUUUUGUAGCACAAAUGCAUUGUGAUAAGUGAAAGAGAAUGUGUUUAGAGUUUUGCAAAAGAGUGCAUGAGAUUUGCAAAUAGAGCCUAACUGCCUGAACGUGUUUAAGGUUUAGCAGAUAGAGUGCUUUAUUUAACAAAUAAAGUUUAAUAACUGGAAUAACUGCAUUUGUAUUUGUGCAUUUAUGUUUCUUAACAAUGUGCAUUUAUGUGUUCUUUUAUAAGGAAGACAAAAAUGGUGCAAUGAAAAAUGACAGGUAUAAUUUAUUAGUGUAAUGAACAUUCUAUUUAUGUGAAAAGACUUGAAAAGUUUGAUGCAAGUAAAAAUGAAAAUGUAGUCUUUAUUGUCAUUGUAUUGUGCGAAAUACAAUAAAAUAGACAAUUAAUCCUUA